GAGCCCAAUAAGGGGCUUGAACUCAAGAUCUGUGAGAUCAUGACCUGAGUGAAGUUGGUUCCCCAACGACUGAGCCACUCAGGCGCCCUGGUGAUUAAGCAAAUUUAAAGUAUCCUCCUUCCCUCGGUCCAAAAUGUAGCCCAGUCCUUUCUAGUUACACUUGUGCUUUCAGGUUUACUCUUAUCAUUGGCACAGCGUAUUACCCAGCACUGUAACAAGGUAACUUGUUAAUUAUUAUUUUUAUACGUUUCUGUUUAUUUAGUAAUCUCUACACCCAGCAUGGGGCUCGAACUCAAGACCCCGAGAUCAAGAGUCAUGCACUCUUCCCACUGAGCUAUCCGGGCACCCCCAGGCCGCAUUCAUCAAUCAAUUUGUCUGCCAUAUCCUAUCUCAGAUGAAUAUAAUGAGCUUUAUGUUAUCCUUAUUGGUGCCAGUAAUUUGCAUUAAAUCAAGAAUCAUUUAAAUCUUCUUCCAAUGACUGACGUGUCAUCAGCCUUUGUCAAGAGCAGCUGCAUCAGGAAUUUUGAACUGUGAAGUCUCAUUCUUCUUGUUAGACCUGUGUUUCCAAGAAUCUUGCUGACCAAGACUCAUCCUUACCAAAUGAGUCAUGUUCAUCUAAUUCUGCUAAUUCAGUGCAAUUUAAUUCUAACAUAUUAAUACACAAAGUAUUUUUAAGACAUAUAUCUAUAUUAUGC